rfam:Desulfococcus oleovorans Hxd3, complete genome.
UAAAGACAGCAAGGUGCCGGGCCUGUUUUUUCGGGCCGGGGUAAAAGGAAAGAUGGUGAAACUCCAUCGCAUGCCAGCCGUUGCCGUGACCGGGGACAACGGCCGCACAAUGCCACUCCGACAAAAAUCGGGGGAAGGCGCGGCCCGCGAAUGAUCCGCCAGCCGGAAAGCCUGCCUGCUGCCAAACCGGAUU